GGGGGGUGUGGCUGGAGUCAGCCCCCUUUGCCUCUGCCAGCGGUUUCCCAGGGAGCAAUGACAAACACCUUGGGUUUCAUUUCGUGUUUGUUCAUGGGGUGGCUGGCCGAGGAAAGCCUGCUGGCUUAUUUCUGUAACGAUGGAAACGCGGAAGCUUGGGAUUGCAAAUAAGACGCUAGAGUCUGGGGAGCAUGGGAGCAUCUGGUUCAGGAGCAGAAUAACUCCAAAGUAACCUGACACUUGAGAGCUAAGUUUGACCCAAAUAGGAGGAAACCUGAAGGCCCUGGGUCCAUCCAGCAGCCCUGCCCUGGAGGGUCACUGAGGUUCUGGCUGAUGGGCAUCCUCGCAGUUCAGUUCAGUGCAGCUCGGUUGAGUCAGCAGAUCUGAGGCUUCAUCUUUGUUUUCUGGGUCACCUAAACUGGGAACACUGAGGUAUUUGAUGUAGUUCUGGCCGGGGUUAGGUAUUUGACUCAUUUAUUGGUUUGGCUCAAUUUGGGUUGUUGCAAAGUUUCACUUAAUAAAAUAUUUAAUGGAGAGAAAGAAGAAAGUCACAUUUUCAGCUAGCUAAGUAAGGCGUCAAAUUACUGUUUAAAAGCCUUUAACUCUGUGGGCCCACAGAAGGUUCCCCCGGGUUUAGGUAUGGGAUGGAGGUCCCCCGGGGAUACACCCAGGAGGUUGGACUGGACCCUCUGGGAGCAGGACCACUCACCCAACCUCUGCAUGGUGUGUGAAGCCACCACAUCAAACAGAAACUGCUCGGAAAAUAGAAUUUCCUAAAUCUAAUGGAGACGAAAGUCAAAGCAGUGGAGUUGAGAGGCUGGAAAGCUGCUGCUCACUCUUGUGUUUUGAUGGGGCCUAAGGGCACUGGGAGUCGAGGGAGAGAUCCUCAGGUCCUGGUGGGAGACUGCCUUCCACUCCAGAGAAUGCCGAUGGAAUCUGUGUGCACAAGUCUUCCUGGAGCCUUCCCCGGUCCCACAUGUUCUGCUAACCUCCUGGUUCCUGCUCAGGCUGGUAAAUUGACUUUGUACUUGACCUGAUGUGAAGGAGGGCUUAGGAGAAAGUGGACGCAAAGUAGCCAAUUUGGCCUCAGUUUCAGGGGCUGGCAAGGCUCUGGGUCCCUGGCCCUGGCUGCCAAGGGGCUGUGGGUGCCUGGAGUCCCUGAUCUCGUGCCUGGUGAGGGGCAGCUCUGUCUAGGAUAUUGCUGGUGUGGCUCUGGUGAAAAUCACCUUUGCCCCGGCUGUCUUGCCAUCCACCUUUUGGCAGGUGAGUCCUAUGGCUCCACCUGUGUGGAGCCUCGGGAGGUGAGUGCCAGGAGAAACAUGUUAAAGUAAGCCAUAAAAAGAACGAAAUUUUGCCAUUUUCAGAGACAUGAUGGACUUAGAU
rnacentral:lncRNA from 1 species